AUUGAACGCUGGCGGCAUGCUUUACACAUGCAAGUCGAGCGGCAGCGCGGGGGCAACCCUGGCGGCGAGCGGCGAACGGGUGAGUAACACAUCGGAACGUAUCCAUAAGUGGGGGAUAGCCCGGCGAAAGCCGGAUUAAUACCGCAUACGAUCUUUGGAUGAAAGCAGGGGAUCGCAAGACCUUGCGCUUUAGGAGCGGCCGAUGUCCGAUUAGCUAGUUGGUGGGGUAAAGGCCUACCAAGGCGACGAUCGGUAGCUGGUCUGAGAGGACGACCAGCCACACUGGGGACUGAGACACGGCCCCAGACUCCUACGGGAGGCAGCAGUGGGGAAUUUUUGGACAAUGGGGGCAACCCUGAUCCAGCCAUGCCGCGUGCGGGAAGAAGGCCUUCGGGUUGUAAACCGCUUUUGGUCGGAAAGAAAGGG
rnacentral:rRNA from 1 species